GGGUUGUGAGGUUAAGCGACUAAGCGUACACGGUGGAUGCCCUGGCAGUCAGAGGCGAUGAAGGACGUGCUAAUCUGCGAUAAGCGUCGGUGAGGUGAUAUGAACCGUUAUAACCGGCGAUUUCCGAAUGGGGAAACCCAGUGUGUUUCGACACACUAUCAUUAACUGAAUCCAUAGGUUAAUGAGGCGAACCGGGGGAACUGAAACAUCUAAGUACCCCGAGGAAAAGAAAUCAACCGAGAUUCCCCCAGUAGCGGCGAGCGAACGGGGAGGAGCCCAGAGCCUGAAUCAGUGUGUGUGUUAGUGGAAGCGUCUGGAAAGGCGUGCGAUACAGGGUGACAGCCCCGUACACAAAAAUGCACAUAUUGUGAGCUCGAUGAGUAGGGCGGGACACGUGGUAUCCUGUCUGAAUAUGGGGGGACCAUCCUCCAAGGCUAAAUACUCCUGACUGACCGAUAGUGAACCAGUACCGUGAGGGAAAGGCGAAAAGAACCCCGGCGAGGGGAGUGAAAAAGAACCUGAAACCGUGUACGUACAAGCAGUGGGAGCCUCUUAAUGGGGUGACUGCGUACCUUUUGUAUAAUGGGUCAGCGACUUAUAUUCUGUAGCAAGGUUAACCGAAUAGGGGAGCCGAAGGGAAACCGAGUCUUAACUGGGCGUUAAGUUGCAGGGUAUAGACCCGAAACCCGGUGAUCUAGCCAUGGGCAGGUUGAAGGUUGGGUAACACUAACUGGAGGACCGAACCGACUAAUGUUGAAAAAUUAGCGGAUGACUUGUGGCUGGGGGUGAAAGGCCAAUCAAACCGGGAGAUAGCUGGUUCUCCCCGAAAGCUAUUUAGGUAGCGCCUCGUGAAUUCAUCUCCGGGGGUAGAGCACUGUUUCGGCAAGGGGGUCAUCCCGACUUACCAACCCGAUGCAAACUGCGAAUACCGGAGAAUGUUAUCACGGGAGACACACGGCGGGUGCUAACGUCCGUCGUGAAGAGGGAAACAACCCAGACCGCCAGCUAAGGUCCCAAAGUCAUGGUUAAGUGGGAAACGAUGUGGGAAGGCCCAGACAGCCAGGAUGUUGGCUUAGAAGCAGCCAUCAUUUAAAGAAAGCGUAAUAGCUCACUGGUCGAGUCGGCCUGCGCGGAAGAUGUAACGGGGCUAAACCAUGCACCGAAGCUGCGGCAGCGACACUAUGUGUUGUUGGGUAGGGGAGCGUUCUGUAAGCCUGUGAAGGUGGCCUGUGAGGGUUGCUGGAGGUAUCAGAAGUGCGAAUGCUGACAUAAGUAACGAUAAAGCGGGUGAAAAGCCCGCUCGCCGGAAGACCAAGGGUUCCUGUCCAACGUUAAUCGGGGCAGGGUGAGUCGACCCCUAAGGCGAGGCCGAAAGGCGUAGUCGAUGGGAAACAGGUUAAUAUUCCUGUACUUGGUGUUACUGCGAAGGGGGGACGGAGAAGGCUAUGUUGGCCGGGCGACGGUUGUCCCGGUUUAAGCGUGUAGGCUGGUUUUCCAGGCAAAUCCGGAAAACCAAGGCUGAGGCGUGAUGACGAGGCACUACGGUGCUGAAGCGACAAAUGCCCUGCUUCCAGGAAAAGCCUCUAAGCAUCAGGUAACAUCAAAUCGUACCCAAAACCGACACAGGUGGUCAGGUAGAGAAUACCAAGGCGCUUGAGAGAACUCGGGUGAAGGAACUAGGCAAAAUGGUGCCGUAACUUCGGGAGAAGGCACGCUGAUAUGUAGGUGAAGCGACUUGCUCGUGGAGCUGAAAUCAGUCGAAGAUACCAGCUGGCUGCAACUGUUUAUUAAAAACACAGCACUGUGCAAACACGAAAGUGGACGUAUACGGUGUGACGCCUGCCCGGUGCCGGAAGGUUAAUUGAUGGGGUUAGCGGUAACGCGAAGCUCUUGAUCGAAGCCCCGGUAAACGGCGGCCGUAACUAUAACGGUCCUAAGGUAGCGAAAUUCCUUGUCGGGUAAGUUCCGACCUGCACGAAUGGCGUAAUGAUGGCCAGGCUGUCUCCACCCGAGACUCAGUGAAAUUGAACUCGCUGUGAAGAUGCAGUGUACCCGCGGCAAGACGGAAAGACCCCGUGAACCUUUACUAUAGCUUGACACUGAACAUUGAGCCUUGAUGUGUAGGAUAGGUGGGAGGCUUUGAAGUGUGGACGCCAGUCUGCAUGGAGCCGACCUUGAAAUACCACCCUUUAAUGUUUGAUGUUCUAACGUUGGCCCGUAAUCCGGGUUGCGGACAGUGUCUGGUGGGUAGUUUGACUGGGGCGGUCUCCUCCUAAAGAGUAACGGAGGAGCACGAAGGUUGGCUAAUCCUGGUCGGACAUCAGGAGGUUAGUGCAAUGGCAUAAGCCAGCUUGACUGCGAGCGUGACGGCGCGAGCAGGUGCGAAAGCAGGUCAUAGUGAUCCGGUGGUUCUGAAUGGAAGGGCCAUCGCUCAACGGAUAAAAGGUACUCCGGGGAUAACAGGCUGAUACCGCCCAAGAGUUCAUAUCGACGGCGGUGUUUGGCACCUCGAUGUCGGCUCAUCACAUCCUGGGGCUGAAGUAGGUCCCAAGGGUAUGGCUGUUCGCCAUUUAAAGUGGUACGCGAGCUGGGUUUAGAACGUCGUGAGACAGUUCGGUCCCUAUCUGCCGUGGGCGCUGGAGAACUGAGGGGGGCUGCUCCUAGUACGAGAGGACCGGAGUGGACGCAUCACUGGUGUUCGGGUUGUCAUGCCAAUGGCACUGCCCGGUAGCUAAAUGCGGAAGAGAUAAGUGCUGAAAGCAUCUAAGCACGAAACUUGCCCCGAGAUGAGUUCUCCCUG
rnacentral:rRNA from 1 species